rnacentral:rRNA from 1 species
UACGGAGGGGGCUAGCGUUGUUCGGAAUUACUGGGCGUAAAGCGCGUGUAGGCGGUUGCCAUAGUCAGGUGUGAAAGCCUUGAGCUUAACUCAAGAAAUGCACUUGAUACUGGGCGACUAGAGGACCGGAGAGGAUAGUGGAAUUCCCAGUGUAGUGGUGAAAUACGUAGAGAUUGGGAAGAACACCAGUGGCGAAGGCGGCUAUCUGGACGGUUUCUGACGCUAAGACGCGAAAGCGUGGGGAGCAAACAGG